rnacentral:lncRNA from 9 species
UUUUUUUUUUUUGGUCUUUUUAGGACUCCACCCGCAAUAUAUGGAAGUUCCCAAGGCUAGGGGCUGAAUCAGAACUGCAGCUGCUGGCCUAAACCACAGCCACAGCAAUGCCAGAUCUGAGCCGUGUCUGAAACCUAUAGCACAGCUCACGGACAAUACCAGAUCCUUAAUCCACUGAGUGAAGCCAGGGAUUGAACUCACAUCCUCAUGGAUACCAGUUGGGUUUAUUACUUCUGAGCCAUGAUGGGAAAUUCCUAACAAGUAAUCUUCAACAAUGGUUAGAUUACACAUAAGCAAAAGGAUAUCCCUCAGUAUUUAAAGAAUACUUAUUUUAUAUCACACAAAAAUCAAAUCCAAAUGGAUUAAGACUUAAACACAAAACAUGAAAUCAUAACACAGCUAGAAGAUAACAUAAAAAGAAAUGCUUCUUCACAUUGGUCUUUCUCUGAGAAUGAUAUUUUGGAUCUGACACCAAAAGAAUAGGCAACAGAAGCAAAAAUAAACAAAUAGGACCACAUCAAACUAAAUAUUUCUACCGGGUAAAGGAAACAAUCAACAAAAAGAAAAGGCAUCUUACUGAAUAAGAGACAACAUUUGGAAACCACAGAUUUGAUAAGGGGUUAAUAUCAAAAAUACAUAGAGAACUCAUACAACUCAACAGUAAGAAAACAAACAAAUAAAAAUAUUCAAAAAUGGGGAAAAGACCUGAAUGGAUAUGUUUCCAAAGAAGACAUAUGAAUGGCCAAACAGUAUAGGAUAAGGUUCUUGUGAUAUAGUGAUUUUAUAAGAAGUCACAUAUAUAUUUAUUUGAUUUUGCUCCCUGCUUCUGGCCAAGAGCUCUUAAAAUCCUUGGAAUUUCCAAAAGGAUGAGAACUCCUAGGAAGUCCUUUUCUUCUAAUAUUUGGUAUCUGACCUCAGUUUCUGACCCAGGGCUGCUGAAACCUUCCUAAUUUUCCACGGGAUAGGAAUGUCUUGUUCUAAUGAGGCAACUCUGGUUGGGCUGUUGGAUGGCUCCUGGUAAUGACUGGUCAGCAGAAAGACCAAGCCAUGAUAAGGAACUUGGAAUCUUCAGUCCCAUUAUACAUUCUCUUCAGAAGGACAAAGGGCUGAAAAUGGAGUUAAUCAUCUGUCAUGCCUAUGUGAUGAAGCUUCCAUUAAAAAUCCUGGUAGAGGAGUUCCCGUCGUGGCGCAGUGGUUGACGAAUCCGACUAGGAACCAUGAGGUUGCGGGUUCGGUCCCUGCCCUUGCUCAGUGGGUCAAGGUUCCGGCGUUGCCGUGAGCUGUGGUGUAGGUUGCAGAUGAGGCUCGGAUCCUGCGUUGCUGUGGCUCUGGCGUAGGCUGGCAGCUACAGGUCCGAUUAGACCCCUAGCCUGGGAAUCUCCAUAUGCCAGCACUGGCCCAAGAAAUGGCAAAAACCAACAAAAAAAAAUCAUGGUAGAAGGCAGUAUAGAUAGCUUUCAAGUCAGGGAACACAUCCAUACACCAGUGGCAUGAUGCACCCCAGUUCUACAGGGAUAGAAGCUCCUGAGCUUAGGACCCUCACAGACCUCUCCCUAUGGGUCUCCUCAUCUGGCUGUUCAUCUGUAUCUUUUAGCAUGUCCUUUAAUAACCUGGUAAAAUUAAGUGUUUCCCUGAGUUCUAUGAGCCACACUAGUAAAUAAUCAAAUCCAAGGGUGGGGGGAGGUCCAUGGGAACCUCUGGUUUACAGCCUGAUCAUACAGAAGUUGCGGGUAACUUGGGGACCUACUACUAGUGAUUAGCAUCUGAAGUGGGGAGCACACUGGCGGGACUGAGUCAUUGGCCUGUGGGAUCUGACACUGUCUCCAGUCUCCAGGGGUAGAUAGAAUGAGAAGUGAGUUAAACUGUAGGACAACUAGCUGCUUCGAAGAGACUUUUUUGUGGGGAACACUCCCCACAUAUUUGGUGACCAGAAGUGUCAAAAGUGAAAUGUUCAGUUUAAGUACAAAGUAGACACACUAGAGGAACAAACUGUAGGUUUUCCCCUACAUAGGCCUCAGCACCACCAACCAUCAGGGGAAUGCAAGUGAAAAAUCACAAUGAAAUACCACCUCACACCUAUAAGCAUGGUUAUUAUUAAAAAAAAAAAACCUCUGAAUAUAAAGUUUUGGCAAGGACUUAGAUAAUUGGGAACCUUUAUAUCCUGUUGGGUAUGUAAACUACUAUAGCACAAUUAUGGAAAACAGCAUGAAGGUCAAUAAAAAAUAACACAUGAUUCAACAAUCCCACUUCUGAUUAUAUAUCCAAAGGAAAUGAAAUAACUUGCUCAGAGAAAUAUCUGCAUUCCCAUGUUCACCACAACAUUAAACACAAUAGCCAAGACCUGGAGACAACCUAAGUGCCUGUUGACAGAUGAAUGGAUAAAGAAAAUGUGAUGUAUAUGUAGACAAAAGAAUAUUAUUAAGCCUUUUAAAAGAAGGAUAUCCUAACACUUGCAGCCACAUGAAUGAACUCAGAAGAUAUUAUACUAAGUGAAAUAGGCAAGACAGAGAAAAACAAUAUUGCAUGACCUCACUUAUAGGUGAAGUCUAAACAAGUCUAACUUAGAAACAGAGAGUAGAAUGGUGGUUACCAGGGGCUAGAGGUUUGGGACAAAUGGAGAGAUGUUGAUCCAAGGGGACAAAGUUCAGUUAUGCAAGAGGUAUAAAUGCUGGAUCUAAUGUACAACAUAGUGACUACAGUUAAUAAUUAUGUAUUAUAUACAUCAAAUUUGCUGAGAGAGUAGAUCUCAAAUAUUCUCCCCAUACAAUGAAAAGAAAGAAUAAGUAUUCAUAGUAUAGUUGGUGGACAAAGGGCACAGCAGGGGGAGGCUUAAGCUGUCACCAAAAAUCAAAAACAGUGAGUCCAAAUGUUCAUUACAAGGAAAAACAUGGGUAAGAGAAUGGGCAUUCACCUUUGUUUAUCUUUACAUAAAGAAACACUUGCAGGAUGCUCAAGAAAUCCAAAGGUAUGUAUUUGAGAGUGGCUGGAGUAACAGCACUGGAGGAGACCAGGAUAUGUGGGCAGUGCAUCUUCUCAAGUUAGAUUUACCUAU